GAUGAAGAACGCAGUGAAAUGCGAUACUUGGUGUGAAUUGCAGAAUCCCGUGAACCAUCGAGUCUUUGAACGCAAGUUGCGCCUGAAGCCAUUAGGCCGAGGGCACGCCUGCCUGGGCGUCACACGUCGUUGCCCCCCCAUCUACUCCUUCGGGAUUGCGGGGGGCGGAUGAUGGCCUCCCGUGCGCCUCGUCGCGCGGUUGGCAUAAAUGCCAAGUCCUCGGCGACGCACGCCACGACAAUCGGUGGUUGCGAAACCUCGGUUGCCCGUCGUGUGCGGUCGUCGCGCAUCGAGGGCUCGAAAAAAUUGCCGGGCUCCGGCUCGGCUUUCAACGCGACCCCAGGUCAGGCGGGGUUACCCGCUGAAUUUAAGCAUAUCAAUAAGCGGAGGA
rnacentral:misc_RNA from 1 species